GAUGAACGCUGGCGGCGUGCCUAAUACAUGCAAGUCGAGCGAACGGACGAGAAUCUUGCUUCUCUGAUGUUAGCGGCGGACGGGUGAGUAACACGUGGAUAACCUACCUAUAAUACUGGGAUAACUUCGGGAAACCGGAGCUAAUACCGGAGAAUAUUUUGAACCGCAUGGUUCAAAAGUGAAAGACGGUCUUGCUGUCACUUAUAGAUGGAUCCGCGCUGCAUUAGCUAGUUGGUAAGUUAACGGCUUACCAAGGGAACGAUGCAUAGCCGACCUGAGAGGGUGAUCGGCCACACUGGAACUGAGACACGGUCCAGACUCCUACGGGAGGCAGCAGUAGGGAAUCUUCCGCAAUGGGCGAAAGCCUGACGGAGCAACGCCGCGUGAGUGAUGAAGGUCUUCGGAUCGUAAAACUCUGUUAUUAGGGAAGAACAUAUGUGUAAGUAACUGUGCACAUCUUGACGGUACCUAAUCAGAAAGCCACGGCUAACUACGUG
rnacentral:rRNA from 1 species